rnacentral:rRNA from 1 species
AACGAACGCUGGCGGCAGGCUUAACACAUGCAAGUCGAACGCCCCGCAAGGGGAGUGGCAGACGGGUGAGUAACGCGUGGGAAUCUACCGUACCCUACGGAAUAGCUCCGGGAAACUGGAAUUAAUACCGUAUACGCCCUACGGGGGAAAGAUUUAUCGGGGUAUGAUGAGCCCGCGUUGGAUUAGCUAGUUGGUGGGGUAAAGGCCUACCAAGGCGACGAUCCAUAGCUGGUCUGAGAGGAUGAUCAGCCACAUUGGGACUGAGACACGGCCCAAACUCCUACGGGAGGCAGCAGUGGGGAAUAUUGGACAAUGGGCGCAAGCCUGAUCCAGCCAUGCCGCGUGAGUGAUGAAGGUCUUAGGAUUGUAAAGCUCUUUCACCGAUGAAGAUAAUGACGGUAACCGGAGAAGAAGCCCCGGCUAACUUCGUGCCAGCCGCCGCAGUAAGAC